UUCCUAAUAAAAAUAUAAUUUUUUUUAUCUCCAUUAUCAAGGCAUAUAAGAUAUUAUUAUUAAUGUAAAGGAGUACCAAAACAGCCGCUGCAAGAAAAGUAUCUCAACAUUGCUAUAUUUUUGUAUUAUUUUAAAAAACCUUUGUUAUAGGCCAUUUUUACCCGGGCCCAAACCAAAAGCAACCGAAUUUUCAAAAAAAUUAAACAGUCCAAAUAAUAAAUUACAAGCCCAAAAAUAAAAAAACCUAGUGGCCUAAGUGUCCCACAACCUAAACUCAAUUUUCAGUAAAAUCAAAAACCCUAGCCCUAACACCUCUCUCGCGCCGCAGCCUCCUCCAUGUGCGCCCUCGGCGUGCAAGACGCCCGAUGAUGACUCCUUCACUGAGGUUGCACCGAAAUGGCAAUGGUUUCUGCCCGUUGACUCCACCACAUGCAAGACAAAAGAAAGAAAAAAGACUAUGAAAGCAGAGAAAGAAACAGAUAGAAAAAGUAGGAAACAGUAGUACAAGAACAGUGUAAUAUGGCUAUAAAAGCCAAACAUGAAUGUAAUUGUUUUUUUACAGACAACAGAAUACAAAGAGAACAAAAAUCAAUUCAAAGGUUCCUAUUCAUUGUCAUUUUAUUUUCUCUGUCUUUUUUUUGUUUAUUUUAUUUUUUAUACAUAUAUCCUACACAAAAGUAAAAAAAGGAAAGAACUGACCUGUAUCCGAGUCUACACCGCCGAAAGCGGCCGAGGAAGCCACCUCCGAUGAUAGGUGGCCGGAAACCUUUCGGUUUCUUGAGGUUUGGGGCCUUUUUGUCAAUAUUUCAGAUAUUUUGGGGGUAGAUUCGGGUUUAAGGGCUUUAAAGGAAUCGGACUGGAAAUUUUAGCCUUUCCGGCCACCGCAUGCGGCGGCACCGUUGCCGACAGCCGAUGACCGACGCGGUGGCCGAUGACCGGAGUUGUGACCGGACUGGAGCCGGACUGAGGGGCUGGGGAGAGAAUUCUGCUUAGGGAUUCUCCCUUUAAAAAAAAAAAAAGGUUAAAAUGAAA
rnacentral:lncRNA from 1 species